GAGGUAUGAGGAAGACGUCUAAACAGUCUGAUUGUUGUGAAGACUGAUAAGAUCCAACUCUGACCUCCACAAAGCC